UUUGACUCGGUUGCAGCUGUUCCUGUACCGCGUGCUGGGCCUGGCGCUCUCUCGCUGCCCCAGCCCGGCCCUGGUGCGGGAGCAGCUCCAGGAGCUCCUGGACGGCGCCCGGAGCCACCACGAGAGCGACAGGGAGGUCAGAAUUCCAUGGAAAACCCGGAAUUCCGGCAAUUUGGGGAAUUCCCGAAUUUUCCAUCCUGGGAAAGGGGCGGGACGGGAAUUUUUUGGGAAUUUUUUGGGGGAUUUUUGGGGUUUUUUGGGGGUUGGGAAUGGGAUUUUUUGGAGGGGAUGGGGUGGGAAAAAAUGGGGGAAUUCCAAUUGUGGAUAAAAGGAUGGAAUUCCAUGGAAAUUGUGGAUAAAUGGAUGGAAUUCAAGGGAAAUUGUGGAUAAAUGGACAGAAUUCCAGGGAAAUUGUGGAUAAAAGGGUGGAAUUCCAAUUGUGGAUAAAAGGGCGGAAUUCCAUGGAAUUGUGGAUAAAUGGAUGGAAUUCCGGGGAAAUUGUGGAUAAAUGGACGGAAUUCCAAUUGUGGAUAAAAGGAUGGAAUUCCAUGGAAAUUGUGGAUAAAAAGGCGGAAUUCCAGGGAAAUUGUGGAUAAAAGGGCGGAAUUCCAAUUGUGGAUAAAAGGGCGGAAUUCCAGGGAAAUGUGGAUAAAUGGACGGAAUUCCAAUUGUGGAUAAAAGGAUGGAAUUCCAUGGAAAUUGUGGAUAAAAGGAUGGAAUUCCAUGGAAAUGUGGAUAAAUGGACGGAAUUCCAGGGAAAUUGUGGAUAAAAGGGCGGAAUUCCAUGGAAAUUGUGGGUAAAAAAGUGGAAUUCCAAUUGUGGAUAAAAGGAUGGAAUUACAGGGAAAUUGUGGAUAAAUGGACAGAAUUCCAAUUGUGGAUAAAAGGACGGAAUUCCGGGGAAAUUUGGGAUAAAAGGGCGGAAUUCCAAUUGUGGAUAAAUGGACGGAAUUCCAUGGAAAUUGUGGAUAAAUGGACGGAAUUCCAGGGAAAUUGUGGGUAAAAGAGUGGAAUUCCAAUUGUGGAUAAAAGGGCGGAAUUCCAUGGAAAUUGUGGAUAAAUGGACGGAAUUCCAUGGAAAUGUGGAUAAAUGGACGGAAUUCCAAUUGUGGAUAAAAGGAUGGAAUUACAGGGAAAUUUGGGAUAAAAGGGC
rnacentral:lncRNA from 1 species